rnacentral:lncRNA from 1 species
UAAGAAUAAAUGCUAGUAGUAAAUAGGACAAAAUCAUAGUUAAUCCAACAAGUUUCUUGGCAAAAUUUCUGAUCACAAAAACGGAAAAUUCAUGUUGUGUGAUUACAGCGGCAGUACACAUAGGAGUUACUCCAUUCUUAAGCAUCUGCCCAAUACGGGGGCAAGAUGUGAAGUUACAUCAAUAUACUUGCAAACAUAAGACAGAGCACAUACUUCAUAUCUUUGCUAUCGGCUAGAGCUUCAGCUCCGAUCCCUAAGUUAAUAUUCACAUCUUCUCAGUAACAAUGCAGUUAUGCCCAACUUCUGGUCACACAAGGAUCAUGGACUGAUUACAGGUCACGAUUACAACAUGAGCACAAGAGCAAGCAUACACAUGCCAAAAGACAGAAUAUGCGUUGACUGAAUAACCUGCACGGAAGGCAUCAGCACUACAUUAAUGUCCCUAAAAUCUACACCAAAAAUGUAGCAAAAAUCCUGACAAUUACUCUCUCAGUCCUAUAAUGUAUGACGUUUUUUGACACUACACCAGUGUCAGAAAACGUCUUACAUUAUGGGACGAAGGGAGUAGAAUAUAUUGCAAAACAGAAUGCCAAAGACAGUUCAGUAUAUAUUACCAAUGCAACUCAGUUAUCAACAAAAUGAGCUAACUAAUUUAACUGGGCAAAAAUGGAUUUGAUUGUGGUAACCAGUUAGAACACAAGGUAACAGUGUCUCACAUGCUUGAGGCUGGUGCAGGGUAGGUUGGACCUAGCGAAGGACUGGAUCCAUCGCUGUGAUUUAUGCAGCCAUAUCUAACUGCAAGGGCGAACGGCGAGAUGGUCAUCGAAGAAGCAUUAGAGCAACAAAAGUCCUCGUGAACCUCUGGUUCUGUGGAGGGUAGGUAAAAGUAAAAUUUUGUUCCAAAAUUAUUUGGUAACAAGUUAAGUUCGAAUGUGAAAUUUGAGAUUACAACAGUACAAAAAAUAACUAUGAAAUGUUGAGGAUCAUCUCCCUUUUGAAAUGUCAUCAAUUAAGAAUGCUAAGAAGAUCAUCACAAAUUACCUAAAGGCCUUAUCUCUGCUGUAAAGAGAUGAUUGUAGGGGCACUUAUACAAAGACAAUGUCUUCUCCUCAAUGUGCACGGCCGACGCGGAAUUUGCUGCCUUCAGCCUGUCCUAAUUUUGCCAUGCACCACAUGUCUGAUUAUCCACAA